UACGUAGGCAGCGAGCGUUGUUCGGAGUUACUGGGCGUAAAGAGCGCGUAGGCGGUUUUUUAAGUUUGGUGUGAAAUCUCCCGGCUUAACUGGGAGGGUGCGCCGAAGACUGGAAGGCUAGAGUAUGGGAGAGGUAAGCGGAAUUCCUGGUGUAGCGGUGAAAUGCGUAGAUAUCAGGAGGAACACCUGCGGUGUAGACGGCUUACUGGACCAUAACUGACGCUGAGGCACGAAGGCGUGGGUAGCAAACAGG
rnacentral:rRNA from 1 species